rnacentral:rRNA from 1 species
UACGGGGGGAGCAAGCGUUGUUCGGAUUUACUGGGCGUAAAGGGCGCGUAGGCGGCCACCGCAAGUCAGUUGUGAAAUCUCCGGGCUUAACCCGGAAAGGUCAACUGAUACUGCGGGGCUAGAGUGCAGAAGGGGCAACUGGAAUUCUCGGUGUAGAGGUGAAAUGCGCAGAUAUCGGGAAGAACACCCGUGGCUAAGGCGGCUCUCUAGUACGGUACUGACGCUGAGACGCGAAAGCGUGGGGAGCGAACAGG